rnacentral:rRNA from 1 species
CAGUAGCCACGGUAAUACGAAGGGUGCAAGCGUUAAUCGGAAUUACUGGGCGUAAAGCGUGCGUAGGCGGUGAGUUAAGUCUGCUGUGAAAUCCCCGGGCUCAACCUGGGAAUGGCAGUGGAUACUGGCUCGCUAGAGUGUGUCAGAGGAUGGUGGAAUUCCCGGUGUAGCAGUGAAAUGCGUAGAGAUCGGGAGGAACAUCAGUGGCGAAGGCGGCCAUCUGGGACAACACUGACGCUGAGGCACGAAAGCGUGGGGAGCAAACAGGAUUAGAGACCCCUGUAGUCCCUGUCUCUUAUAC